AUGGAACAUAAUUUGUGUCCUUUCGCAUAUGGUUUCUUCCACUCAUUCUGUUUGUUUCUUAUUUUGAUGCAGAGGAAGAUGCUCAACAGCCCAUGGUGUGUAAGCCAAUGUCCACACUUUAUGAGCAGAGAGCUAAGAUGGACCCCGAGGGUGCUGGACACAACAGCAGGAAAUAGGGGUGAGGAGGAAAAACCGGACCAGGGAGAGCUGCCUGCUGUCUGGACACUCCUUGAAGGCCCUCGGGACUCCCCAGGCCCCAGGGGAAAGAUCCUGGAGCAUUACAGAUGAUGUGUGGAGGAGUUCUUUGGAGGUGCAGUGGCCAUCUUCUGACCAUAGAGGGCAAGCUUGAAGAUUAAAACCAAUGUGCUCAGGAUGAAGAUUUGGGAAUGUGGAAAGAGUCCAGUCCUCAGGAAGUCAUGGAGCCAUGGAAGUGCUAAGUAGGAGAAUGGGAACUCCUGAAUCUGAACCUCCUCCUUUGCAGCAAAACAGUCCCCAGGUUUCCAAGUGACUGUAGAAGAUUAGCAGGCAGAGCCAACCUGCAAAUGUGCUACCCCCAGACUUCUUAUUAUGGUUGAUUGUGAGUGUAGUCCACUUUUAGUUGAUCACUUGCAGCUACAAACAACCUAACAGACAUAGUGGGCAUGUUUAAAUAAAUCUCUUUUGUGUUUCUGUUUGCUAUUUUUAAGCCCUUGAUGUAGUGGGGAAAAAAGGUCUAUUAAGUCCUGACCCAACAUUUCGCAUAAAAUUGAACUCACUUAUGCACUUGAAUAGAAUGAAAAUGAUGAUUCAGUUAGCACAAAGCCAUGAAUCAUGAAAACUAAAUUAUUAUGGUAGCUUAUUUUACAUAAAAUCAGCUUUUGAUAGGAUAUAAAUUGAAAAGCACACAAUAUAAGUAGUAGAGGUAGAGGCUUUAAAAUAUCUAUGUUGAUGAUAGGAAAUGAAAUUAAAAUAUUUUGCAAGGAUUAUUCUCAAAGCACAUAACUGAGAACUGACUGAGUGUUGGCAACAAAGGAAAAUUUAUCUCCUGUUACAUGAUGUGGGACAUAACAUUCUUAUUAAGUAGAAUUGGAAUUUUCUGAAUCUCCUUUGCAACAAAACAGCUCCCAAGUUGCAAAUUGAAUCACAAGAUUAGUAGGCAGACUGAUGAGGAUUUAAUUUUUAAAAUAUGCUGUAAUGUUUGAUGUCUAAGAAGCAGCCAUAAAACUGAAGAAGUAAAGGACAGCUGAUGAUCUGCCCUGUCCUUGCUCCUGCUUGUUCUCUUUGCAUUCCCAGACUGUGUUGUUUGGAAGCAAAGCUCUGUUGUUUUCUGGUCAGAAGAUUGCACCUUUGUGCCUGUAGACAAGGUGAUGACAGCCCCGGUUCCAGGAACCCUUGCUCACAAGCCUUCUUUGUGCUGGGCGAGGAAGUUCUAGCUUGGGAUUGCAUGACAUCACCAUGCUCCCACCCACUUCUCUGGAUCCCUCAACUCACAGAGAGUCAUUGUUUGUGGCUUUCGAUCUGAACAGCUGCUGGCUUUUCCUGGCUUCAUCACUGUGAAGAUGGUGAUCGUGCAAUGCUGAUAUCAAGAGAUCUGUGCUGCAGUCGGCCAUGGAUCAGACCAUCAGCCCUGGGCUCUGUUUAGGAAAGUCUGAUCACCAUAGCUGUAGCACAAUGCCUCCCAGCUUCCCUAGCUGGUCAGAGGUUUCCCCCACACAUUUCAUUGUUUUGGGUGCCUUCUUAGGUCGGAUCUCAUCUCUGCCCAAUAAGCAAAAUUCCCCAUGUGUCUUUUUCAGAAUCCUUCUGAAAAGGGAUUUCAAUUUAGGUAAUACUAAAAUUAGGCAAAGUAAGUCAGGAGUCUAACUAUGAAAAGGUACCUAAUGAGAAUUCCAGCUUCACAAUAAAGUUCAAAAUUUUUUAAAAUGCAUGAAGUAUUGCAUUUAAACAGUUGAAUAGAACUUGUUUUGGACAAGCCACUGAAGGGAACACUGCAAAGCUAGCAUUCAGCUUUCAAGAUUAAAGAAGAGCAAAGAGCAACUUCAAAGCCCAUUGGGGAAUCUAUCAUGCUUCCCAAGGUGGCAAGGCAGGUAGUGGACUCACUGCUUCUUCUGACACUGGGGGCUUGGAUGCUGAGUCCAAGGGGCAUGCUUGAAUCUCCAGUAACUUCUGUGGUACUUGAUGGAGGUAGCCAGGUACACCAGAGGAGUUCAGGAGAUAUUCAUGGGCCUUACCUGGAUAACUCUUACCUGGAUCUAAUGUGUCUUCCACACUAGAUCAAUGCAUCUGUAACCAUCUUUCUGUCCAGAGCAGGAAAGCACGCCUGAAAUGCUGUGGAGGAUGUGUAUACUUGAGAUAAUUUUUCAGGAAUGUAGAGCUUUGAUUUCUCAGAUUUUCUUUUUAAAACUAUGAGCAAGAAUAAAAUAAAAUAUAGGAGAGGACAGACAAUCCUUGAGUGUAAGGAGAUGGAUAAUGGCUUGGGGCAGCUGAAUAAAUAAUGUAUAUUUAUCUGGCUCUCUUGACCUUACCCAAGCCUUUUUACAACUACCAGGUGUGUUAUGGACACAUUUUUCUAUGAAGUCAUCAAACUAAAUAGAGUGGAUCCUGAAUGACAAUCAAACCUCUAAAAAAGGAAAGCAAGAAGAAAAGCAUCACCAUCAUUUCCUCUCUGAGAUGUCCUUUGUCUUUGUCGUGGAAGCAUAGACUCAGGGGUGUGAGAUCAGAUUCGAGACUGUGCACUGUCACAUGGCAUUUUGUGCUUUCCGCCCAUCCUCAUUAUGGGCUGCUUGGGUUUGUCCUACACAAGUAACCCUGGUGCUCACUACACCCCAGGAACAAUUCAAUGAUGCUACCACAGUGUUUUGUACCUGGAAUGGGAAGGGCUCGGAAAAUGCUUGAUAAGUAAAUAAAGCAUGUUUUGUUUAAGCAAUAUUUAUGAACAGUGAAGCUUCCUCUUUAUGUUUUUUAGUUUCUUGGGUCAAGGAUUACAUCGCAAACACCCUUGUAACAUCUUAGUAUACAAACGUAGGCAUCCAUUUGUGGCUGCUGGUGGCUAAGGGAGUGGAGGAGGGCCACACUUCUGCAGGCCACAGGGGCCCAAACAUCUGUAUCACCAGCCUUGCCUACUUGGCAUCAGAAAUGGUCUCCCACUUCCUU
rnacentral:lncRNA from 1 species